GGCCGUGUGGCCCAAUGGCAAGGCGUUCGACUACGAAUCGAAAGAUUCUGAGUUCGAUCCUCAGCUCGGUCA